rfam:Schistosoma mattheei strain Denwood, Zambia genome assembly, scaffold: SMTD_scaffold0011226
AGCUUUUCGAAUCCUUGCUGAGAUUUUGUCAGACACCAACCCAUUAGGGCUGAUCAGACUUCCAAAAUCAAUGAAGUU